UCGAGGGGCAGCACAGGGUAGCAAUACUUGGGUGGCGACCGGCGCACGGGUGAGUAACGCGUAUGCAACUUACCUAUCAGAGGGGGAUAGCCCGGCGAAAGUCGGAUUAAUACCCCAUAAAACAGGGGUCCCGCAUGGGAAUAUUUGUUAAAGAUUCAUCGCUGAUAGAUAGGCAUGCGUUCCAUUAGGCAGUUGGCGGGGUAACGGCCCACCAAACCGACGAUGGAUAGGGGUUCUGAGAGGAAGGUCCCCCACAUUGGUACUGAGACACGGACCAAACUCCUACGGGAGGCAGCAGUGAGGAAUAUUGGUCAAUGGCCGAGAGGCUGAACCAGCCAAGUCGCGUGAAGGAAGAAGGAUCUAUGGUUUGUAAACUUCUUUUAUAGGGGAAUAAAGUGGAGGACGUGUCCUUUUUUGUAUGUACCCUAUGAAUAAGCAUCGGCUAACUCCGUGCCAGCAGCCGCGGUAAUACGGAGGAUGCGAGCGUUAUCCGGAUUUAUUGGGUUUAAAGGGUGCGUAGGUGGUGAUUUAAGUCAGCGGUGAAAGUUUGUGGCUCAACCAUAAAAUUGCCGUUGAAACUGGGUUACUUGAGUGUGUUUGAGGUAGGCGGAAUGCGUGGUGUAGCGGUGAAAUGCAUAGAUAUCACGCAGAACUCCGAUUGCGAAGGCAGCUUACUAAACCAUAACUGAC
rnacentral:rRNA from 1 species